rnacentral:rRNA from 1 species
GACGGAAGGUGCAAGCGUUGUCCGGAAUCAUUGGGCGUAAAGCGCGUGUAGGCGUCCGGUAAGUCGGCUGUGAAAGUCCAGGGCUCAACCCUGGGAUGCCGGUCGAUACUGCCGGACUAGAGUUCGGAAGAGGCGAGUGGAAUUCCCCGGUGUAGCGGUGAAAUGCGCAGAUAUCGGGAGGAACACCAAUGGCGAAGGCAGCUCGCUGGGACGUUACUGACGCUGAGACGCGAAAGCGUGGGGAGCAAACAGG